UACGUAGGGGGCUAGCGUUGUCCGGAUUUAUUGGGCGUAAAGAGCGUGUAGGCGGCCAGGUAGGUCUGCUGUGAAAACUCGAGGCUCAACCUCGAGACGUCGGCGGAAACCAUCUGGCUAGAGUCCGGAAGAGGAGAGUGGAAUUCCUGGUGUAGCGGUGAAAUGCGCAGAUAUCAGGAAGAACACCCGUGGCGAAGGCGGCGCGCUGGGACGGGACUGACGCUGAGACGCGAAAGCGUGGGGAGCGAACAGG
rnacentral:rRNA from 1 species